rnacentral:rRNA from 1 species
UACGGGGGGGCAAGCGUUGUUCGGAAUUACUGGGCGUAAAGGGCUCGUAGGCGGCCAACUAAGUCGGAUGUGAAAUCCCCAGGCUUAACCUGGGAACUGCAUCCGAUACUGGAUGGCUUGAAUCCGGGAGAGGGAUGCGGAAUUCCAGGUGUAGCGGCGAAAUGCGUAGAUAUCUGGAGGAACACCGGUGGCGAAGGCGGCAUCCUGGACCGGCAUUGACGCUGAUGAGCGAAAGCCAGGGGAGCAAACGGG